UACGGAGGGGACUAGCGUUGUUCGGAAUUACUGGGCGUAAAGCGCACAUAGGCGGAUUUGUAAGUCAGGGGUGAAAUCCCGGGGCUCAACCCCGGAACUGCCUUUGAUACUGCGAAUCUCGAGUCCGGAAGAGGUGAGUGGAAUUCCUAGUGUAGAGGUGAAAUUCGUAGAUAUUAGGAAGAACACCAGUGGCGAAGGCGGCUCACUGGUCCGGUACUGACGCUGAGGUGCGAAAGCGUGGGGAGCAAACAGG
rnacentral:rRNA from 1 species